UCCUCUUCUUUUCCCCAUGGAUCUCAAAUCAGUUCUCACCCGUCAUCGCGCAAGGCAGGGGGAGGACAUGGCCUGCACCUUCUCCAUGCUCAUGGCUUUGACGGGGGGCGGCGCUGCUAACCACUGCAUGGCGGCGGCCUUGGGGCGGCGUGGCGGAGCGGGUGCUGGAGACGGGGGCGUCCAUUGGUGCUGGAGACGGCGUCCAGCGAUGCUGCAACCAGCCGAGCAUGGCGCUGCCCACCACGGGCACGGUGACCACGCUGACGGGUGCUGCAAACCACGGUGGCAAAACGAUGGAACCGUGGCGGAGGAUGCUGGAACCGGCUGAGCCCGAUGCUGCGACGAGGCGGCGAUUUUUGGUGUGGUGAAGUUUUUGGUGGAACCAGGCAUCAGCGGUGCUACAACCAGCCACAAAAAUUGCUGGAACCGGCAUCCACCGGUGCUGGAACCGGACGCGCCUUCCCACCGCGAACGGUUUUUUGCUGGAACUUGCUACUUCUUUUGCUACAUCUACUUUCCUUUUGGAUUUUGCUUCCUGUUAUUUUUGCUGGAACCGGACACUCCUCGCACUGCCGACGUGCUUUUUGGCUGGAACCAGCUUUUCUUUUUGCUGAAACUUGCUACAUCGACUUCUUCAUUUGGUGGGGAUGGGUGGUGUUUUUGCUACAACCGGCAACUACAAAAGUUACAUCUACAACCGGCAACUACAAAAGUUACAUCCGGCGAGCGGUUUUUGUACGACCAGCAAUGAGGAUGAGUACUUCCUUUUUGCUAGCUCAUUGUCAGCAUGCUGCGACCGGCGACCGGCGCCACCGGAGCUGCGGUCGUCGCCACAGGGAGCUGCAGCCACGGGCGCACGCUGCUGCAUGCAUGUAGCGAGAAACGCAAGAGGUGGCUACGAUGGCGACCUGCAGGGACGAGGACGACCGGCGGCGAGGGCAGCGACUAGCGAGAUGUGCCAGGCAGUGCUUCAAGGCCGGGUGCGUCGCUAGUCCAUGGCUACCUGAUGGAAGCUUGUUUUUUCCAAAGAAAAAAAUACAUUGACAGAGAAAGGAGAGAGAAUCGUGUGGCUACCCGAUGUUUGAUCGGACGGUGCUGGUGCGACCGGCCCAAAUUUCGGCGGGCGCACCGGCGCGUGUGACUCGCCAAACUCUAACCCACACUGCGGGGACAUGAGCGCAGCCGACGAGCGGGACCAGGGGAACACCGGCCCACCCGUCAUAGAGUAAAAAUGACCGAAGGAAGUACGACACAAGCGUGGGCGUGAAAACCAGGUGCAUGUGCGUCCGCCAACCCUUCAGCAGCGUUGCGCAGUCCUCGCACGACGCACGCCACAGUCAGCGCGCAACGACCCAUGCGACGCGCCAGGGGCGGUCUACCCGAGAAUUUCUAACCCAGCCAAUGGAAGAACUGGGCGAGCCCACCAGUCAUCAUAGCCCACGCUCGAUCACUGGGUCAAAAUAGAAAGUAAAAAACGUGCGGCCAACAAGGCGCGUUGACCCGACCAAGCGAGAUCAAACGGCCAUGACAAUGUGAAAUCGGUGGAUCGCUCGGGAGGGCGGGUCGUCCCGGAACCUUAUAUGUUAGAAUAUAAUAUAAUUAAUUAUCAAAAGCACACUAACUGAUUUCUUCUUUCAUAUUUUAUAAUCUGUUAAUUGUAGAUAUUGCUGGUGUAGUCAUGUACGUGGGCCCAGUUGACUAUGAUACAUAUUCCCCUCUAUGCAUGAGGGAAGUAGCACUGAUCGAUGCUGCCAUGCGAAUUAUCUUCCUACACAUUUUUGAAGAACUAGUUGAACGCCAUUGGAAUGAACUUCUUCCUGCUGAAGCAAAUGUUGGCUUAAUCAUGGCAACCUCGAUGAAGGUUCAUCAACUAUCCAAAACUCUUAGCACGGGGCAACAACUUUAUGCAUACAUUACUCCUCAACUUGCCACAAAUUUCACUUUCUUAAAGGCCAGUAUCUGUUAUAUUUCUUAAUUUUACAAAAUUCUCCAACAACUAGACUAACUGUUCGCUUAUCAUUUUUCUGUAGGUGUGCAUGAUCAAGUUCGUGAUGACUUGUCUUUCCGUGAUGCUAUCAAGAAUGAAGUUCUUCUUAGGAAGGAUGCCCGCAAACAAGACGAUGUGGAUAACUCACUUGUCCCCAAGAUAACCGCGACUGAAGUAGACUUUUGCUCUGGUCAAUCUUCCCCCGUGAAGCAAAAUUUCAAAUAUAUAAGGGGUGAUGAGCGUCCACCAAUCAACGUCAACAAGAAGGAUCAAUUGGACUAGGCAUAAAGGUCUCAAAUAAAUAAGAAGUGUGAAACUAAAGAAUUUCAAGCCCUUGGAUUCCUAGCCUUUUCUUUCGGUUGUUGAAUUUUGAGUUUUGCUUAAUGACUUGUUUGAUGAUGGAAUAUUGUGUAAACCUUCAUUUUGAUUACUGAUUUCCUUUUUUUUUGCA